ensembl:misc_RNA Y_RNA Y RNA
GGCUGGUCCAAGUGCAGUGGUAUUUACAAAUAACUGAUCACUACCAGUUACAAAUUUCUUUGUUCCUUUUCCACCCCCACUGCUUCACUUGACUAGCCUUUA